GGAACCACAGAUACUUGAUAUUAUCUCAGUAAAAAAGUCAUACUAGCCAAUUAAAAUCAGGACCCACUUUGACUUCAGUAACUGUUGGAGCACAUACAACCAAGGAUAGUGUGGUUUUGGUUAAUAAGAUCAGAAGCAGAGGGAACACGGCUGAGUAGGAUAAGGAUUAAGAAUUAUAUGGACUUUGAAUGAUAAUUCAGGUGGGUGAAGUAGCUGGGAGAGGAAAGAUGAUACUGCUAUCAUCCAAAGAGUUUAGAGAUUGUUACAUCUAUGAAAGGUCACAAUUGAAAAGUAAAAGGAGCCAGGGAUAGGGAUGAUAGAAAGGUGAUCAGACAGGAGUAGGAGGCUGGAAGAUAUAAUGUAAAGAAUGCCUUAUAGUAAACUGGGUGAAGGGGAUGAAUAACCCUAAAAUAUAACAGCAAUGAUGAAAGUAAAACCACAUGAGGCAUAAGUAAGAAUACGAACUAAAUAAUAGAAAGCAAUUAAUAAAGAGAUGCCUAUGGAUGAAUUGCUGACACCACUGUGCUGAGCUGAAGGUGAUGUUCUCACCCCUCUGGUUCCCAGAGUCUCCAUUUGGUGCUGUUUCUGAGUCAUUUUAAAUUAGUAGUUUUCAUGGUGGGCAGCUUGUUCCGUAGAGAAAACAUGCCGAUAUUUGCAAGAUUUUUUUUCUUUCUGAAACUCAAGGGUAGGUGGAAUGGUAAUGGUGGGAUCUUUGAAGAGAAGCCCAGGAUGCUGCUAAACUCAGCACAGGACAGUCCACUCAAGUGAAGAACCCCGCCCAUGAAAUGGAGCCCUCCACAUUCAGGGGGAUUCUUCUCUACUCAGUUGAACUUCUGUGGAAAUACCCUCACAGAUGUAUCUAGAGAUUUACUGUUGAAGUUAAAGCCUGUGAGAGGUUCCCAGCGAUGCUUCAAAAGGUCCCUGUGCACCAUCACCAGCUUCAUUACAAAUAUCAGGACACAGUAAUAGUUCCUUCUCUGUUUUUGUCAGGAGAGACAAAUACGGUUCACAUGGGUAACCCAUUUUGACAUCCCACCCCUACCUCUGUAAUGAAACGAUAACUUUUUAGUACUGGAUGAGCAAUUUGAAGACACUAUUCCUCUCUAAUACUAACUUGUACAAUGCCAUAUCUCUUGUUGAAGACUGUGUUGACGAAAUGGGUAGGAUAGCUUGUGCUAACUUGGAAAUGAGCCCCACAUAGGCUGAAAUGCCUUCCCUCCCCUCCCCUUCUGUCUCCUCCUCUCUACCUUCC
rnacentral:sRNA from 1 species